rnacentral:rRNA from 1 species
AGAGCGAACGCUGGCGGCAGGCCUAACACAUGCAAGUCGAGCGCCCGUAGCAAUACGGGAGCGGCAGACGGGAUAGUAACACGUGGGAACGCGCCCUUCGGUUCGGAAUAACUCAGGGAAACUUGAGCUAAUACCGGAUACGCCCUUACGGGGAAAGAUUUAUUGCCGAAGGAACGGCCCGCGUCCGAUUAGCUAGUUGGUGAGGUAAUGGCUCACCAAGGCUCCGAUCGGUAGCUGGUCUGAGAGGAUGACCAGCAUCACUGGGACUGAGACACGGCCCAGACUCCUACGGGAGGCAGCAGUGGGGAAUAUUGGACAAUGGGCGCAAGCCUGAUCCAGCCAUGCCGCGUGGAUGAUGAAGGCCUUAGGGUUGUAAAGUCCUUUUAACGGGAAGAUAAUGACGGUACCGUAGAAUAAGCCCGGCUAACUUCGCGCCAGCAGCCGC